UUAAUCGAACUGAACGCACCCUGUUGUUCAUUCUCAUAAUCAUCACCCUCAGAUGCCAUUAUAGCAUUUUGGGGCUAUUUAGUAAGGUAGAGAGUGGGGCCAGGAGAGGGAACUCGCUCAGCUCCUUCCAACCCCUGCUCUUGGGUAAUAGCAUACAGGCGCUUGGUGCCAACGCCUUCCUCAAACACCAUGCUCUGCUGGAUCGGUGAGUGAUAUACAAGGGCCAGAAGCAAGAUCUAUGACCGCCAGAGACAGAAGGGACAAAAGGAAGAGGUGCAAUCUGUGUGCACCAAGAGAUGUCAAAAUGAGCAUGAAGUUCCCUAAAUGCAGUGCAUAUAUUUGCAAGGCACAUGCAACAACCCCCACGUAUUGUCCAGCAUGUGCAUGAGAACAACACAAAAUGUAACCAACAUUGAUUGACAGAUUGUGAACAUGUUAAUGUUUUUGUUAUUGUUAGUAAUACUGUUAUUGUUACUGUUGUUCUUUAAUGUGUUCAGACAUUCAUUUUGUAAUAUAGUCAUGUUUUAAUGUGUAGUUUUGGGCCUAUGUCCUUUCUUUACUAAUAAAAUCAUAACGGUCAGUUUUGACCGGGAACAUAA